rnacentral:rRNA from 1 species
GAGGGCGGGCAGUAUUAAAAAUGGGCUGCGGGCUAUACAUGCAAGUCGAGCGGAUUGAUGGGAGCUUGCUCCCUGAUAUCAGCGGCGGACGGGUGAGUAACACGUGGGUAACCUGCCUGUAAGACUGGGAUAACUCCGGGAAACCGGGGCUAAUACCGGAUAACUCAUUUCCUCGCAUGAGGAAAUGUUGAAAGGUGGCUUUUAGCUACCACUUACAGAUGGACCCGCGGCGCAUUAGCUAGUUGGUGAGGUAACGGCUCACCAAGGCAACGAUGCGUAGCCGACCUGAGAGGGUGAUCGGCCACACUGGGACUGAAACACGGCCCAAACUCCUACGGGAGGCAGCAGUAGGGAAUCUUCCGCAAUGGACAAAAGUCUGACGGAGCAACGCCGCGUGAGUGAUGAAGGUUUUCGGAUCGUAAAGCUCUGUUGUUAGGGAAGAACAAGUGCCGUUCGAAUAGGGCGGCACCUUGACGGUACCUAACCAAAAAGCCACGGCUAACUACGUGCCAGCAGCCGCGGUAAUACGUAGGUGGCAAGCGUUGUCCGGAAUUAUUGGGCGUAAAGCGCGCGCAGGUGGUUCCUUAAGUCUGAUGUGAAAGCCCACGGCUCAACCGUGAAGGGUCAUUGGAAACUGGGGAACUUGAGUGCAGAAGAGGA